CCAGCUCCAAUAGCGUAUAUUAAAGUUGUUGCAGUUAAAAAGCUCGUAGUUGAAUUUCUGGCCAGUCGGGUGCUGCGCUUCGGCCGGUUCACGAUUUGGUCAUCCGUAGGGGAAACCUAUUCGGCCUUCACUGGUCGGUAGGCGGAAUCUACAAUUUACUGUGAAAAAAUUAGAGUGUUUCAGGCAGGCAAUCGCUUGGAUACUCCAGCAUGGAAUAAUGGAAUAGGACUUUUGUCUAUUUGUUGGUUCAAGGCAAAAGUAAUGAUUAACAGGGACAGUUGGGGGCAUUCGUAUUUAAUUGUCAGAGGUGAAAUUCUUGGAUUUAUUAAAGACGAACUUAUGCGAAAGCAUUUGCCAAGGAUGUUUUCA
rnacentral:rRNA from 1 species